GUGAACUAAAUACAAUAACAUACUAUAAUUUAGACAACUAAAUAGUUAAUUUGCAACUCUCGUCACCACGGUCCAACGCUCUCUGUCACGCGGACCACACUCUCUGGACAACACUAACCACACUCUGUCGACAACGCAAUUCGCACUCUCUGACUUCUCGAUUUACACUCUGACUUCUCGACUGACACUGACUCUUAAUUCGUUUUUGUCCCUUAGCAUCCCUUUGUCUUUUGUCUUAGCCUCACAACGCACGUGUUCCGCAACCGCUCGUAGCCAGGAUCACGCAGGUCUUUUCCGCGAAACUAUUCGAUUGAAGGACCGACGAUACAUUGUUGAGCCUGUCGGUACUUUGGCCUUCUCGCGACAUUGUUUAUAGUUCGACGAUAUCUCUUAGGUCUUUAGGUCCACGAUACUACAAUAUGUAUGUG
rnacentral:misc_RNA from 1 species